UGAAAUAUGCCGUCGCAAAAAGUAAUGAAAAUUUUCAACAUCCCUCUCCUUUAGCCCAUUCGCGCUCAUUUUCCCCAAAAUCCCUAUUCGAGCUCGUUUUCCCCCAAAAUCCCUGAAACCUUUGUAGCAAAAAUCUCAAGUGAGCGACGACGGUGGAAUUUUGCUAACUUUGAGGCGUAUUGACUGUGACGACGGUGGAAUUUUGCUCCGAGCAGCGAGCGACGACGACUAGUAGCAGUUAGUCUCAAUCGCGUCUCUCUCACUCACUCAGCAAGUGACGACGCCUAGAGACAAUGGAAACAGAUAAAGCUCAAAGGGUUCUUCCAUUUCAACUUCAGUUCGACAAACCACUCCCUUCUCAGAUUAAAAUAGCAUAAUGAAACCCAGAAAAGGAUUUACUCGCCAGGGUUACUAAGGACUCUAAAAUUCUUCUCCAUCGUUUGAAUUGGCAGUGUUUAUGGGCUGUAUCCCUAGUGCUGUUCAAUCAAGGAGUGUCGAGUUCAGAUCAAUAGUUGACACUUUGGGAUGCUUGGUAGCUAGUUAGAAUGUAGGGAACAUGGAUAGGGUUCAAAUGCCUGCUUUGGGAGUGGGAUUGUCGUAGUGUUGUGUUCAAGGUGGUAUUGUGUGCAAGAUGUUUGAUGAAAUGACAAUAUGGGCAUUUGGGAUAACAAACAAAUGUUGGGUGGAUUGGUUGUGAAGACAAGCAGGGGAGAGAAUACUAAGGCAGAGCCAACACUCCAAAGAUGGAAGGAAAAUGCAUAAUAUCCUUGUGUUGGCGUCUCGAAUCUGAUGAAGACCAAGAAGCAUCAAGUUUCCACUUAAGAAUGGAAAGCUGUUGCAAAGCGUAAAGUCCCAUACUGUUGUUGUUGUGUGUCUUAACUGGGAGGAAGAUGGGACAAAGAAUAGAAUGUUGCUUGAGUAGGAGUUUGCUUCUUGUGGAAUAUCUGCCUGUC